UACGACGGGGGCUAGCGUUGUUCGGAAUUACUGGGCGUAAAGCGCACGUCGGCGGAUACUUAAGUCAGGGGUGAAAUCCCGGGGCUCAACCCCGGAACUGCCUUUGAUACUGGGUAUCUCGAGUCCGGAAGAGGUGAGUGGAAUUCCGAGUGUAGAGGUGAAAUUCGUAGAUAUUCGGAGGAACACCAGUGGCGAAGGCGGCUCACUGGUCCGGUACUGACGCUGAGGUGCGAAAGCGUGGGGAGCAAACAGG
rnacentral:rRNA from 1 species